UAUCACUUCUCCAUUUCCGAGUUGCGAGUGUCUGAGUGAGUGACUACUACUACUAACUUACUAAGUAGUAAGCACUAGUACUACCAGUAGCAGACCAAGUGCAAAAGCAUGAAAGAAAUGAUUAUCCGCGGGCCAAACCCUCUUUCAUCUCUCUCUUUUAUUCGCUUCAGGAACAAACCCACCCCCCAAUUUCCUCACACCAUCUUAUCCUCUCGAUUCUGUACUUCCUCUGCCAAUUCUAUUUCUACUGCACCAACUUCCUCCCAAACCCUAACCCAAGCAUCAAAUCAUCAUCAUCCAUGGCCCGAAUGGAUGGCCUUCGUCACGCGCUUGAACUCCCUCGGUUAUUUUCCCAAAUCUUCUUCCGACGCCGCUGUUGCCUCUGAAUUUAAUUAUGGAGAAAUCGACGUCUUCAAGGACCCUUGCCUCAGCUUUGCCCGCGACCGCUACGAUCUUUUCAGGUCUUUGUCAAAAGGUGAUAUUAGAAGUAUGGUGGAGGGUGGAUGUCCUAAACUUCAACGCAAAGUUGUCAAUUCAGCAAAACGGCUGAGAGUAUAUGUGGGAUUAGAAGAGAAAAGUGUAUGUAACACAUGCAGUCUUCAAGGAUCUUGUGAUCGAGCUUAUGUGAUGCUUGGGACAUCUGAAGGGGAGGCUCGAAUGGUCGAUGUCAUGCGCCUCUUGUUAUCUUAUGCACUAGACCCACAACUUAUAUCUAGAGCAGCGAGUGCUCCAAGUAUUGAGCAGGCUGAAUCAGCUUCAAGAAGAUUGUUGAGGUUGUUGAUUGACUCGAGUGAAGCUUCUACAGGUCCUCCUCGUGAGACUAUUCAAAAGCUAGCCUAUAAGAAGGAACAAUCAGUUAACUCUGUGAGUGCUUCAAAAGGGGAUUGGUCAUGUCCUAAGUGCAGUUUCAUGAAUUUUUGGAGAAACCUUCAAUGCCAGAAGUGCAAUGAGGAGGGUCCUAGAUAUCGUAAGCGGGCUAGUUUCACUGUUGAGAUGAAGAAAGGUGAUUGGAAGUGCCUCAAGUGUGAAUGUGUAAACUUUGCUAGCAGACGGGAUUGUUUUCAGUGCAAGGAUCCACGACCCCCGAGGGUACUGGAACCUGGGGAAUGGGAGUGCUUUAAGUGUGAUUUUCUGAACUUUAGAAGAAACAUUACUUGCCACAAAUGCGGUAGCAAACGUCGAAAUGAGAUAGCAUCGCAGGGCAAGAUACAGAAUAACCGGACUAAUCUGGUGGCUGAUCAAAUAUGAUAUAGCAACUUGCCUCCAUCUACCAUUGUGUCAGCGACCAUGUCUUCGUAGUCUUGGAAGUUUUGAGAUGAGCAACAUUUUGCAUCACCCCAAGAUGUACGGUAAUUGUUUGGAGGUCCUCUCCUUCUUGGCACAAGGGUUCAAUUCUCACCCUUUGAAAUGUGGGGUCCUCAAUUUACCCGACUUUUACAUUGGGUUUGAUUUGUCAUAAGAUUAUACUAAUAAGUAAUAAUCACUAUAAGUUCAUGUUGAUAAAACUCAUGAAACCCAUAUUUAGUUAUAAUGCUUCUUACUUUAGUAACCUACAGUUUAUUGUUAAUGAUUUGUGUUCUUUUCACAUAAUUUUCUAUAGCAUCUCCAAAUGAUUGGCGAUUUUUAUACAGUGUAAAAUUGAUUUAUUAUUC